ensembl:lncRNA
UUUUAAGGGUGGGAUUGUUAUGUGGGAGUGUUUUAAUCUGUGUUUCAUUGCAGUUUCCCUGGUCACUCUCCUGCAAUUAACAGGUUAAUUGGAUCCACCUGAAGGGAGUCACUUUAAAUCUAGGACACAUGCUCUUGCUCUCUCUCUCGUUUUGCAGCCAGCACUGCGGUAGCAGUGUUUCUGCUUCUUCAGUCCCUUUUUUUUCCCUUUUGUUAUUAAAAUAAACUUAUUUUGAUUGGCAUACUUUUGUUUUGUGUCCUUUAUGUUGCAUCCCUAGAGCCAGGGUUGUAACAAUCAGUUAAAAAAUGGUUUUAAGUCAGUUAUUUCUAUCGUCUCCAAGAUGUGGAAAACACACUCAAAGGGCUCCUAUGAAGUCAUCGUGUGAAACACUGCCCAAAGCCACUAGAAGGCAAGCCUACAACCUUUAGUCAAAAAAAGCGCAACGGCUAAUGCUAACGGAAUGGAGACCAGAGGCCUUUAUACAGACAGACCCAGUCAGCUCCCAAUAGUAAGACAAUCUCUGCUGAAAGCUGAUCUCAGACUGGAGUCAGACAGAGGCGUUUAUCCCGACAGGAGUUUGUUCCGCUGGAUCAACACUGCCACCUACAGAACGCUGUUCAGGUCAUUAUUUUUUCUCACAUUGAGUGAAACGACUCACUGUGACCCGUUACUUGAUUAACCCAAGUGGAUGCUUUAGAUCCACACAUCUGACAAAUGAGAAGGUAAAGCAAAUAUGUGUCAUGUGUAUGGUACUGUAUCUGUGUGUGAGUGUGUGUGUGUGUGUGUGUGUGUGUGUGAGAGAGAGAGAGAGAGAGAGAGAGAGAGUGUUUGUGUGUGUGUGUGUGUGUGUGUGUGUGUGUGUGUGUGUGUGUGUGUGAGAGAGAGAGAGAGAGAGAGAGAGAGUGUGUGUGUGUGUGUGUGUGUGUGUGUGUGUGUGUGUGUGUGUGUGUACUUGUAUUUCUUACUUUGUGGGUCCCAGUGACCAGGAGCACACCAACGGUAUGGGGUCCAACAACGUUGUGGGGCCCGAAAUUGUGGGCCCCACACCGAUUUCAACGUAAACUGCCUCAGUAGCCUCUGCUGAUAUGCCUCAUGCUUUUUUUUCACUUUCCCCACAAAGUGAUAAAAACCAGUUUUGAGUGUGUAUGUGUGUAUGCUCUCUAUCGCCCCUGUAGCUGGGAACGUGGUAUUGCAGCAGAUACACACUACCGGAUGUGUGUGUGGCUUUAGCCAAUGAGAAAGGCCCACGGAGAGGGAGGGAGGAGCCGUGUAGUUUUAUUGGAUGCGCCCACGCACACUGUUUCUGGGUUUUAAUCUUCAAUUCCUCAUGUUUUGACUGUUUCAACGGAAAAAAAAACACUUCAUGUAGACUAAGCAACAGGUUGCUGUAAUCCUAUAGUAUUUAACUAAACAUUUGAUAUAGUUCCAUGUGAAUUUCUAGUCGUGUGAACAGAAUAAUUCUUAAUGAAGUAAGGUUUUAAUCAGAUGGCUAACAUUAGCUGCUAAAAGCCCACGGACACGGCAUUUUAAACCGGAAGUUCCACGCGCUUCGACUCUGAUCAUCACGGCACAGCACUCUUCAUGUGAGAAGCAGCACCAUAAUGUUGAAAAGGAAGACCAGGAUCCGGCCUGUUGAUGAUGCCAGGACACACAUUCAGUCUUUGAGGGACAAGCCUGAGUUUAUGGAACGAUUUAUCGAUAAUAACAAAGUAUUGAUGCAUCCAAAGAAGACGGUUCUCUUGGAAGAUUGAUUAAUGACAACCACAAAUCUCCAAACUGCACCAUGAAAAAAAUCAUAGUAAACGACACGCCACAUUUGUGUCUAUUUGCUGUGAAGAAAAUUGAAAUAGGAAGUGAAAUCGAAUACAACUACGGUGAUUCACAAUGGCCGUGGCGUAAAAAGGAGCCAAAGCAGCAGACUUCUGUUAUAGAGACCAAAACAUCCCUAACAGAUCACUCUUCCCAUGAUGCCUCCAACAAAGAUGCUGUCGUCACGCAGGAGCCAAAGCAGCAGACUUCUGUUAUAGAGACCAAAACAUCCCUAACAGAUCACUCUUCCCAUGAUGCCUCCAACAAAGAUGCUGUCGUCACGCAGGAGCCAAAGCAGGUAUUUACCAUCAAAGGGUUUUCUCUAGUGAACUAUACCGAAAGUGAUGAGACGGAUGAGUAUAUUAAAGACAACCCUCCCAGUCCACACUGUGAUGUUGUUCGAAAGAAGACGAGGAAUGGAAACAUUCAGGUGAUUGGAGUAGCUGAUUUUUCUGAUCCUCUGAUUGACUCAAAUGAGAGUAUAGUAGAUGAAACUGAUGAGGAUUCUAGUCUGCAGUCAGACAAUGAAGUUGUUCCAAAAAAAUCUUUUGAUGGAUAGAGUACCAAAUUGUUCUGUUCCUCUUAAUGAGUCAAGUGAUGACAGCAUAGAUGAGCCUUCCACUCCUAUGUCUGGAAUGGCUUCACAAAGGCCGAGGAGAAACUGUCACCGUCCUAUUCAAAGGAGUCUUGUAGAAUCCAGAAGUACAGGAGCCUGAAGUUGAGGACAGUGUGGCUUCCACACAGGAACCUACUUCCACGCUGCAUUCCCAAUACCAGAGAAAGUCGGCAAAAAAGACAGGUAAAGAAACUGCUGUCAAAAGAAGCUGGACAACAGAUGAAUGUGCGGCAGUAGAAAGGCACCUAAGGAAAUUCAUUGUGAGGAGCCAAGUUCCAGGGAAAAAGGACUGUCAGCGCUGCGUUGAUGCAGAAGCUCAAGCUUUAGGAAAUCGAGACUGGAAGGCGGUAAAAUACUUCAUCAAAAAUCGUAUUUCUGCCAUAAGAAGGAAAGUACAGUGAAAUACAGGUAGCUCAACGUAUUGGAUGCCUUCCCACUAGCAUUCACAUCGGGACAUGUUCUAAGUGUUUUCAACAGUUGAAAUUUAGUUGUUCUUUAUUGUAUUAUCCUCUUAAAGGGUUAGUUGUCACCAUUUACUCUUAUUUGUCAUUUCAAACCCAUAAGAAAUUAGUUCAUCUUUGGAACACAAAAUAUGUUUUGAAUGUUUCCUCCAUUGUUUGCAUUGCCGCUCUGUCCAUUACUUGAGGGGUUCCGAUUGCAUUAGGCAGUUUGUGAAUGAAUGUGAUGACAUCAAACACCCCAAAGCGCUAACCUCAAC